CCUACGGGAGGCAGCAGUGGGGAAUUUUGGACAAUGGGGGCAACCCUGAUCCAGCAAUGCCGCGUGAGUGAAGAAGGCCUUCGGGUUGUAAAGCUCUUUUGUCAGGGAAGAAACAGCUGCUCUAACACAGUCUGCGAAUGACGGUACCUGAAGAAUAAGCACCGGCUAACUACGUGCCAGCAGCCGCGGUAAUACGUAGGGUGCGAGCGUUAAUCGGAAUUACUGGGCGUAAAGCGUGCGCAGGCGGUUAUACAAGACAGGCGUGAAAUCCCCGGGCUUAACCUGGGAAUGGCGUCUGUGACUGUAUAGCUAGAGUGUGUCAGAGGGGGGUGGAAUUCCACGUGUAGCAGUGAAAUGCGUAGAUAUGUGGAGGAACACCAAUGGCGAAGGCAGCCCCCUGGGAUAACACUGACGCUCAUGCACGAAAGCGUGGGGAGCAAACAGGAUUAGAUACCCUGGUAGUCCACGCCCUAAACGAUGCUGACUAGUUGUUGGGAAUUUACAUUCUCAGUAACGUAGCUAACGCGUGAGGUCAGCCGCCUGGGGAGUACGGUCGCAAGAUUAAAACUCAAAGGAAUUGACGG
rnacentral:rRNA from 1 species